rnacentral:lncRNA from 1 species
ACAACACACAGCACAGUUUUCAUGUUUGUUAUGUGUUUUCUCUUCCUUAUAGAUCUGUUAGAGCCACGUCAAGGACUGCUGUGUCCAGGAGUGGAGAAAGGCUUAUGUGAGACAAGAGACUCUACUGUCAGAAGAAAGCAAGUGAUUUCAUCCUAGGUAACAGCUGACUCCUAUCUUCAGUUUUGUGUUCCUCGAAGAAUUCACUAGGAAAAUUCACGUGGAGCAACUCCAGCUAAAGAAGCAUGAAGACUAGUCUACUGGGGAAAGAAGAAAUGGGUUUCCAUGGACCUAUCAAUGAUACUCAUCACAGAAUUUCCCCAGCCAGAAGAAAGCACUGCUUUAAUCCAUCAUGCAGAGAGGAUCUGACGUCUGUAAUGUCGCUGUUACCAAAAAUAUCUGAUUCUGCAAUUUGGUGUGCAUCAGCUUUUGGAGUGAGCCUCUCAAAUCUCUACAGACCAAUGGAGACCAAGCAAGAUGCUCUCUAGCUGAACUAAGAAGAAAGGCAGCAAGUUUGGCCCAAAAGGUAGGAGAAGAUCUCAAUGCUCAGUGUGGGUCUGGUCACAGAGGAAAGUUACCACAAUGACACAAGACUAGAAGUCAUUCUGUCAUAACGAGUGAGUGAUAAGCAAUUAGUGUCUACCUGCUUUGAUAUGUAAAACACCGUUGCCAUCAAAGUCCAGGGGAAAAAGAAUCAUGGUUUUAUAAAUACAGCUUUAAACACCAUAUUUACAGAUGUAUUUGAAACUUCUGACUGCUUUGAGUAAGUGGUCUCCUUGAAAAUG